GCCUUCGGCAGCUCCUACGGAGGGUGCGUACACCCGCGCAAUGACGGGUUCACAUGAUCCCUGUAGGAGCUGCCGAAGGC
rnacentral:misc_RNA from 1 species